GUCUUCAGUCUGAAAUUUGCUGUUUUUCUUUCAGAUUUAAAGAGUCUUUGAGUGCCUUAAACUUUGCCUGUUCUUUCACAUCUAUCAGUUGAUGUAUUAAAAGAUGUACUUUCUCCAGCAGAUGGCAACACACUUCUAAAUUAUUCAUAGAAUGUCUGAGAGACAUUCCAAAACCACACGUCUCCAGUUCACACCAGAAGUAUCCACUAGCUGCUACAGAAUAGUGAAGCAUUUUUAUUGCUGUAGACUCAGAAACUAUGGAGUUCCUACCAAUCAAAAUCUUUAUAUAGGAAAGGUUUCUCUUGUGUAGCACUGUGAAUGGACUCAGAAAUGUGAUCCCAGGGCACCAUUUGCAAAGGAACCAUAUUGACAUAGGCAGCCCUCUUGUACAAAUGAAGGUAAGUAACGCUGAAGGCUGGAUUUGCUCACUACCAUGUUAGGAGGGGCUGAUAAUUUUUUUCCUUUCCCUUGGUGAGAAGGGAGCCAUGCUAUUUUUAAAACUGCCACCUCCUGUAACAUGUAAUGCUUUUUUUGAGGCAACAUGAGUAGUUUGCUAGGCUUUGCAAAAAUGAUAGUGGCUUCCACUCAGUGACUUUCUGUGACAAGACUGAGGAGCAGAAUAUCAGCCAGGGAGGCAGAAUACAGUGUUGUCAGAAGAGCAGAAUACAAGGUUGUUGGUCAAGUAUUGCUCAGGAG
rnacentral:lncRNA from 1 species